CUCAAUUUUCAGCCUUCCGUCUAAAACAAAUUUAUAACCACAGAUCCUUCCAUUCCUUGAAUAGGCGGGUCCUGUGGUUUGUGAUUUAAACUGUAAACAUCUCUGAUGUGGUUGUGAUGUACGCAGAAUCAGGCUAGGAUUCUUACAGUUUGAUUUGGCAGAUAUACUUGAAACUGAUCACAUUAAAGGAGGUUGGCUGUCGAGGGGCUAUAAAUUCAUAUAUCCCAAGUUAAUCAACAUUUAUUCUGUUCUGUAAUUAAAGAUGAGAAAUACAAUGUUUUUAUUGCUGUUUUCCAGGUGACGCUGUUAUGCCUUCAAGACCCAGCUAUAACAGGCUGAGGCAACUAAAAAGUUACGGGAGAAAAUAAAGCAUGAGGAGAAAGAUUGCAAGAGGACCAUAAAAUGAACACACAUGUAUUUGCUGACAUGACCAAGAAAUGCUGAGUAGCACCCUUUGAAGUCAGUGAGAGCUAGUGAGUGCUUCAGCAAAAAAGGAACUGCGAAGCAAGUGCCUGUUCCCACACUGAAACCCUGUCCUCAAGCUGUGCAGCCAGACUCAGCCUUUACUCGUGCCACGGUCCCUCUGUCUUUGGUUCUGGACCUGCUUGUUGGCCCUGUCCAGAAUUUCAACCAUAAGUUCAUCAAGAAAACGCUUCUUCUUGGAACCGUCCAUGAAGGCACGUUGGACCAGGCUUCAGCUGCAGCGUGGGUGAGAUGUUCAGCACUUCCACAUAUUGGAAGACAUAAUAGUUCUUGUGGUGCCUGAUUGGCAAAGGGAGACGCUAUUCCAAGCUGCCAGUGGGAAACCUGCAGUGUAUGCAACCAAAGUAUUCAAAAAUAUAGUGACUGAACAGCACAUCUGUGAGUGGAGUGAGCUGGUCAGCUACCAAGGUGGCACUGGAAAAUAUGCCCUUCCCCAAAAUGUGACUACCUAUCUGGAGUUCCUGCUUCAGGGAAAGUUUGCAGCUAUCAGCACCCGGGAUUGGGACAGAAAUCUGAGGGAAUCAACAGGAUGAUGCAUUAGCUUCCAUGUGACUUAGCUGCUUAUGGCUUCAUGCAAACACACACAACUUCAAAGCCUUCACCCUUCUACUCCCUCACUCUCACCACCUCAGAACAUUUCUGGACAAAAUUUCAAACCUCAAUUGAAUUUGGGACCAAUGAUUUUGUCACCCGUGGACUAUAUGGACUACCGUUAAUUAAAAUGGACUAGAUAUGUGAAUGGAAUAGAUUUCCACCUUCCUCCCACAAUCCAAAGUCACUGUUUCCAGGUGGUUUGUUAUACCGCUGAGUGGUUACAGAGCGGCAUACUUACAGGCAUGGCAAUUAGUCCUGGGGAAAUUCUGCACCACUGCACCACGCAGAAUUUUGCAGAAAAUAGGGUUGUGCAUGCAGAAUUUCCUUUCCCCCCUACAGAAAUGGGCUGCAGAGCUGCUGCCCACCACUAGGCACCACCUGACCCAGCAGAGUUCAGCUUGCAAAUAGAAGACAAUGCCUGGGGGAGGGCAAGGGAGCUGGAGGGUUCCCAGCAGCUGCAGUUCCCAGCAUGCCCUGAAAGAAGGAGGUGGUGGUGUGCAGGAAACUCUGUUCAAGCCUGGGACCCAGCAUCAGGAUGUUUCUCUCUGGAUCCCUGGGCUCUAGGAGGGUAGGGGGUAUGAAUGUCUGGGCCGGGGGGAGGGACGUGAGUGUCUGGACCGGAGGGGACCCUAUGGGGAGUAGGGAGUAUGAGUAUCUGGGCUAGAGGGUGGCAGCGGCUGGGCUCUGGGGGGAAGGGGUGUGAGUGGAUGGGCUUGUGGGGCAGGUCCACAUCUGGGCUCUGCAGGCAAGGGGCAGAGAAACAGGAAUGGGUUGUUGUAGGGGUUUCUUUAACUCUAGUUCUGGGGGAAUUUUUCUGUGUGUCUGUAUUGUUACGGACAUUCAUGCUGACAGGUAUUUUGA